rnacentral:rRNA from 1 species
AGACCCGAAACCCGGUGAUCUAGCCAUGGGCAGGUUGAAGGUUGGGUAACACUAACUGGAGGACCGAACCGACUAAUGUUGAAAAAUUAGCGGAUGACCUGUGGCUGGGGGUGAAAGGCCAAUCAAACCGGGAGAUAGCUGGUUCUCCCCGAAAGCUAUUUAGGUAGCGCCUCGUGAAUUCAUCUCCGGGGGUAGAGCACUGUUUCGGCCAGGGGGCCAUCCCGGCUUACCAAUCCGAUGCAAACUGCGAAUACCGGAGAAUGUUAUCACGGGAGACACACGGCGGGUGCUAACGUCCGUCGUGAAGAGGGAAACAACCCAGACCGCCAGCUAAGGUCCCAAAGUCAUGGUUAAGUGGGAAACGAUGUGGGAAGGCCCAGACAGCCAGGAUGUUGGCUUAGAAGCAGCCAUCAUUUAAAGAAAGCGUAAUAGCUCACUGGUCGAGUCGGCCUGCGCGGAAGAUGUAACGGGGCUAAACCAUGCACCGAAGCUGCGGCAGCGACACUGAUGUGUUGUUGGGUAGGGGAGCGUUCUGUAAGCCGUUGAAGGUGUGUCGUGAGGCAUGCUGGAGGUAUCAGAAGUGCGAAUGCUGACAUAAGUAACGAUAAAGCGGGUGAAAAGCCCGCUCGCCGGAAGACCAAGGGUUCCUGUCCAACGUUAAUCGGGGCAGGGUGAGUCGACCCCUAAGGCGAGGCCGAAAGGCGUAGUCGAUGGGAAACGGGUUAAUAUUCCCGUACUUGGUGUUACUGCGAAGGGGGGACGGAGAAGGCUAUGUUGGCCGGGCGACGGUUGUCCCGGUUUAAGCGUGUAGGUGUGUGUUCCAGGUAAAUCCGGUUCACUUUAACACUGAGGCGUGACGACGAGGCACUACGGUGCUGAAGCAACAAAUGCCCUGCUUCCAGGAAAAGCCUCUAAGCCUCAGGUAACAUCAAAUCGUACCCCAAACCGACACAGGUGGUCAGGUAGAGAAUACCAAGGCGCUUGAGAGAACUCGGGUGAAGGAACUAGGCAAAAUGGUGCCGUAACUUCGGGAGAAGGCACGCUGACACGUAGGUGAAGUGGUUUACCCAUGGAGCUGAAGUCAGUCGAAGAUACCAGCUGGCUGCAACUGUUUAUUAAAAACACAGCACUGUGCAAACACGAAAGUGGACGUAUACGGUGUGACGCCUGCCCGGUGCCGGAAGGUUAAUUGAUGGGGUCAGCGCAAGCGAAGCUCCUGAUCGAAGCCCCGGUAAACGGCGGCCGUAACUAUAACGGUCCUAAGGUAGCGAAAUUCCUUGUCGGGUAAGUUCCGACCUGCACGAAUGGCGUAAUGAUGGCCAGGCUGUCUCCACCCGGGACUCAGUGAAAUUGAACUCGCUGUGAAGAUGCAGUGUACCCGCGGCAAGACGGAAAGACCCCGUGAACCUUUACUAUAGCUUGACACUGAACACUGGUCCUUGAUGUGCAGGAUAGGUGGGAGGCUUUGAAGUGUG